rnacentral:sRNA from 1 species
AUUUUACUUCUUUAAAAAAAAAGUGUUAUUGUUAAAAGAGAGCUCAGUAAAUAGUUUUUGGCACCGUUACAACUGAGUUCUGAUUUCCUUCAAAUUGUUUCUUGGCACCGUUACAACUGAGUUCUGAUUUCCUUCAAAUUGUUUCUUGGCACCAUUACAGCUGAGUUCUGAUUUCCUUCAAAUUGUUUCUUUUGCUGAAAUGUGUGAGUCAUUUCCAGGAAGAGUAACAAAGUCAAACUUAAGAAUGCUACGCUGAAUUAAUUAAUGUGCCUAAUCUAGGUAACAUUGGAGUUUGAACAUUUAAUUGACUCUUAGCUGACCUAGUUUUCUGAAGCCUCAUGUCAGACUUUUGUAACAUUGGACAUUAUUAUUAGAUGUGUUGUUGUUUUUUUUAUAUUGUGGUUGUGUUUUCGAGUUUAGCUUAUAAAAAAUGAAUACCACAGAAUUCGCAGAGGUCACUGUAUCAGUCGGUGUUAAUUCACCUUUGCCACUAGAGUUAAAAGUUGUCAUUGCUGUAUUGGCUGGAUUAUCGUUGGUUUUACUUUGCCUGCUGUACUAUUGUAUUAGAUCUUCCCAAAGCAAAAACCAGAAAUCAGUAAAUAUGCCAGACAGAGAGAGAACAAACAUGUUCAUCUGUAAUUUUCCCGUCGGAUUUUGGUACGAUGAAUUCAAAUCAAUCGAUAGUUCCAAGACUUUUGGAAAGAACUUCGACUCCAAGGAAAUACGUCCGCUAGGAGGAAAAUCAAUUUACAAAGGAAAUAAAAUCCAUCACUCUUUGAUUUAAACAUAGGGAACAGAGAUCUUAUUAUAAUAUUAUGAAAAAAAAAACAGAUCUAUUUUGAAAAACUUGACUAUUUAGGCCUACAUGUAUUUAUUUUUAUAAAGCAUAAUAUAAUUUCAUUGACAUGUUAUGUCAUUUUCAGUCAUCUGUCUGUAGUCGUUAAAUUUCGUGUACUAGCAAUGGAUAGAUCAGUAAUACACUUACUGUAUUAUUUUAUCAUGGCCGUAUUUGGCGGUCUGUAGGCCACGGGGCAACGAAGGAGCAGGGGCCCUGUAAUUGUUAUCCAAAUAAAAGAAACUUUUUUUCCGGUCAAGUCUUUCAAUAUUCGAUAAAAGUAUUUCUAUUGUGGGGGCACUUCUCUCAUGGGUACCAUAAGCCAGUAACUUGCCCUUUGCCAUAUCCAACCCCUUUGAUUAUUAAGCUAUAGGCCUACAUCAACACUUGUUUUAAAUGAUGCCAAUACUCUUUUUGUUUGACAAAACUGGGCGCCGUGGUAUAUAAAGAACAAACACGGACCUUAUGAUAUUUAUAUUGUGAGAAUAUAGAUCCAGGUUUAAGUCAUGUGACACGUUCUCCUACCUAAAGAAAAGAAAUUAUAAGAGAAAGGAAGCAGGCUUAUAAUUU